AGUGAACGCUGGCGGUAGGCCUAACACAUGCAAGUCGAACGGCAGCACAGUAAGAGCUUGCUCUUACGGGUGGCGAGUGGCGGACGGGUGAGGAAUACAUCGGAAUCUACUUUUUCGUGGGGGAUAACGUAGGGAAACUUACGCUAAUACCGCAUACGACCUACGGGUGAAAGCAGGGGAUCUUCGGACCUUGCGCGAUUGAAUUAGCCGAUGUCGGAUUAGCUAGUUGGCGGGGUAAAGGCCCACCAAGGCGACGAUCCGUAGCUGGUCUGAGAGGAUGAUCGGCCACACUGGAACUGAGACACGGUCCAGACUCCUACGGGAGGCAGCAGUGGGGAAUAUUGCACAAUGGGCGCAAGCCUGACCCAGCCAUACCGCGUGGGUGAAGAAGGCCUUCGGGUUGUAAAGCCCUUUUGUUGGGAAAGAAAAGCAGCAGGUUAAUACCCCGCUGUUCUGACGGUACCCAAAGAAUAAGCACCGGCUAACUUCGUG
rnacentral:rRNA from 1 species